GACGAACGCUGGCGGCGUGCCUAAUACAUGCAAGUCGAGCGGACAGAAGGGAGCUUGCUCCCGGAAGUCAGCGGCGGACGGGUGAGUAACACGUGGGCAACCUACCCUGCAGAUUGGGAUAAAUCCGGGAAACCGGGGCUAAUACCGAAUAACAUUGGAAACCUCAUGGUUUCCUUUUAAAAGGCGGCUUCGGAUGUCACUGCAGGAUGGGCACGCGGCGCAUUAGCUAGUUGGUGAGGUAACGGCCCACCAAGGCGACGAUGCGUAGCCGACCUGAGAGGGUGAUCGGCCACAAUGGGACUGAGACACGGCCCAGACUCCUACGGGAGGCAGCAGUAGGGAAUCUUCCGCAAUGGACGAAAGUCUGACGGAGCAACGCCGCGUGAGUGAAGAGGGUUUUCGGAUCGUAAAACUCUGUUGUCAGGGAAGAACAAGUACGGUAGUAACUGCCCGUACCUUGACGGUACCUGGCCAGAAAGCCACGGCUAACUACGUGCCAGCCGCCGCAGUAACAC
rnacentral:rRNA from 1 species